AAAAUAUUUAUAAAACUAGAUUGUUAUGAAAAUGAGGAGCAUAUCAAUUUUUUUAUGAAAAAGGGGGAUGCAGACACAAAGUUUGGAAACUACUGCCUUAUUAGAUCAGGUAAAAUGUUACAUCAAAAAAACAAUAUAAUGUUAAACAGCCCAGGGCUAAUUCAAUUAAUGGAUACAAGCUUUAAAAAUGCAAAGUGGAAAUGCCCUCUUUCUGUCCAGUGCUUCCAUCACCAAAUCUUUGAGAAAGAUUUCAGUUGAAGUGAUAGUAUGUGAAAUGUUAAAAUAGUCAGUUUUUAAUUGAAGAGUAACUGGUUUUUAGCUAAGAAAAUGUUUAAUAAACAUUUAUAUAUAACAUAUAUUUUUUUAAUUUACAAUUUAUAAAAAGUAUUUUGCAUGUGAUUUUGGAUUAACCAAACAUUCAUUUAUCUGGCCUGAGAUCCAGCCCCCAUAGGACCUGGUUAAUUGGAAGUCUAUCGUAUUUAUUAAUUAAAGUCACUAAAUCAUACUUCAUUCUUUUUGCAUUAAAAAUGUUAUUUAUAGAUAACAUUUAUAUUUGUGAUAACAAUAAAAUCAGUUCAAUAUAUUAAAUAGUAUAUGUUAUAAAUAUCAUUAUUAAGCUUGUAAGAUCAAAAUGCUCUCUGUGUCCUCACCAAAUACUUUUGAAGUAAUGAAUGGAUUUCUAUAAAACUUAAUAUCUACCAUUAAUGAUAACCUCA
rnacentral:lncRNA from 1 species